rnacentral:rRNA from 1 species
UACGUAGGGUGCGAGCGUUAAUCGGAAUUACUGGGCGUAAAGCGCGCGCAGGCGGUCGAUCAAGUCGAGUGUGAAAGCCCCCGGCUCAACUGGGGAGGGUCAUUCGAUACUGAUCGACUCGAAGGCAGGAGAGGGUAGUGGAAUUCCCGGUGUAGUGGUGAAAUGCGUAGAUAUCGGGAGGAACACCAGUGGCGAAGGCGACUACCUGGCCUGUUCUUGACGCUGAGGCGCGAAAGCUAGGGGAGCAAACGGG